UUUGGCAGUUUGCGAAUACAUUGGCUUUUUGUUUUUCUAGUUAGUAGACUCUCUGAUAAAUAAAUUUUAAGAAUUUUUUAAUUAAAAGAAAAUUUGAGGAAAUAUUAAAAACAGAAAAAUUUGAGAAAAAAUGAUAAAAAGUCGAAGAAAUUAAUAAAAUAGAAAAAAAUUUAAUUCUGAAACAAAGAAAAUUUUAAGAAAAAAUUGAAAAAGAAUAAAAAUAAAAUUGAGAAUUAUAGAAAAUGGAGAAUUUUGAUAAGAACAAACAGUCGAACAGUAAUCUCAAUUUUUGAACAUCAGACGUCCCAAACUAAGCAUCAGUCAGUUUUCCUGAUUUGUAAGUUCAUUGCGUUACACAUUUAGUACUGCAGAGGGCUCUGUUGGGUUGUCUAACAUCCGGACAUCCUACACUUCUCUCAGUGUAAGAUACUAAGUGAUCUUCAGUCAAUAAAUAAGCUUGAAUGAGUGUUUCUAACUGUCAGUAAUGAAUACGCAAAUUAGUUGAAGACUAUAUAUGUUUAUAGAAUAUCGUAAUGUUUACCCUGAAAUGUUUUACAUUUUUUAUACUGUUUAGCCUUAUUGUACUUUUAUUUCUCCCUAGCACAGCAUUAGAAAAAUUAAACAAUGUAAAUGUUGAAACUACAUCAAAAAUUCAAACAAAUGAAGUACGAAAAUUGUCAGCCCGACUCUUGGGUAAAUUAUCAAAACGUAUAUCUAUAGCUGUUGAUUUUAAACUCGGUAACGGUAAGGACACAUUUAAGGUUAUUAAAAACUCUGAAGGAAUUCUUACGAUUCUUGGAAGUUCUGGUGUUGCAGCAGCUUGGGGACUACAUUAUUAUUUAAAGAAAUUUUGUAAUGUUCAUAUUUCUUGGGAAGGAUCUCAAUUAGAAUUGCCAAACGCUUUUCCGGAAGUCAAUUUGACUAUAACAGCGAAUGACAAAUUUAGAUACUACCAAAAUGUUUGUUUAGGAGGAUACAGUACGGUUUGGUGGCAAUGGGAGCAAUGGGAGAAACAUAUUGAUUGGAUGGCUCUGAAUGGAAUAAACUUAUCUCUUGCAUUUCUUGGUCAAGAAGCCAUUUGGCAAAGAGUUUACUUGGAUAUGAAUUUAACUCUCAGUGAGAUAAACGAACAUUUUGGAGGGCCAGCAUUUUUACCAUGGUCUAGAAUGGGAAAUAUUAGAGGAUGGGGAGGACCAUUAACUUCAUCGUGGCAUAAUCGCACAAUUGAAUUGCAGCAUAAGAUUUUGAAGAGGAUGAGAAAUCUUGGUAUAAAAUCUGUUUUACCUGCAUUUUCUGGACAAGUACCAAGAGCACUUGCUAAAUAUUUUCCACAUGCAGUUAUGACAAAAAUUGGUGUAUGGAAUACAUUUCAAGAUCAAUAUUGUUGUCCUCUUAUGCUAGAGCCUACAGAUACUCUGUUUCAAGUACUUGGGACAACAUUUUUAAGAAAGUAUAUAGAAGAGUUUGGCUCAGAUCAUAUUUAUAACUGCGAUGCGUUUAAUGAAAACAAACCAAGUAGUGCUGAUUUGUCAUAUCUAAGGGAUGUUGGCAAGGCAAUAUUUAAAGCUAUGGUUACCGUAGAUACUGAAGCAAUUUGGUUAAUGCAAGGAUGGAUGUUUGUGCACGAUUUUCAAUUUUGGACAGAGUCCAAAGUUAAAGCUUUUGUAACAUCUGUACCAACAGGAAAAAUGAUAAUACUAGAUUUACAAUCUGAACAAUUUCCUCAGUACAAAAGGCUGAAAUCCUACUUUGGGCAGCCAUUUAUUUGGUGUAUGCUUCACAAUUUUGGAGGUACUCUUGGAAUGUUUGGUUCAUCAGAAAUAAUAAAUGAGCGAGUUUUUGAAGGCAGAAAUUUUAAUGGAAGUACUAUGAUAGGAAUAGGUUUGACACCUGAAGGAAUAAAUCAAAAUUAUGUGAUAUAUGAAUUUAUGAUUGAAAUGGGUUAUCAUCAAAAGCCUGUAAAUUUAGAAACGUGGUUUGAGAAUUAUGCUUCUAGAAGAUAUGGUUCUUGGAAUGAAUAUACCACAGAUGCUUGGAAAAAACUUGGAAAAUCUGUUUACAAUUUUAGUGGACCUCAAAGAAUUCGAGGUCAUUAUGUUAUAACAAGGAAACCGAGUCUUAAAAUUAAAGUAUGGACUUGGUAUGAUUCUGAUAUCAUUUUAUCUGCUUGGGAUAUGCUUUUAAUGGGCAGACAUAGCAGAGGUAGCAGCAGUCUCUAUAAGCAUGAUUUAGUUGAUGUAACGAGGCAGGUUCUUCAAGUAAAAGCUGAUAAAAUUUAUUUAAAAAUUUUGGAUGCUUUUAUUAAACGUAAUACAUCAGAUCUGAAGUUUCACUCUAUGAUGUUACUCAAUCUAUUCGACGACUUGGAACGUAUUUUAGCAACUAGUAAAAAUUUCUUGCUUGGUGUUUGGCUGAAAGAUGCAAAAUCUCUUGCUACAAAUAAAAUGGAAAUGAAUAUUUACGAAUACAAUGCUAAAAAUCAAAUAACACUUUGGGGGCCGAAUGGAGAAAUUAUUGAUUAUGCAAACAAACAAUGGUCAGGAAUCAUCGAAGACUAUUUUAAACCUAGGUGGAAAUUGUUUCUUCAAGAACUUUAUACUUCUCUCAAUGAAGGAAUAAAUUUUAACCAAACUAAUUGCAAUUUGAGAAUGUUUAACAAAGUAGAGCAACCUUUUACAUUCUCCAAUAAGACCUAUUCUUCAGAACCAAAAGGAAAUAGUAUCGAGCUUGCACUUGAAAUUCAUUCUAAAUGGCGUAACUUAUAUAAAAAAUAAUAGUUACUUGGCUUAACAAGGUUCUAUUGCUUUAUGGAAAGUGUCAAAAUAGAGACUAUUACUUCGUCAUUUGCCUUACUCGGUUCCGCAAAACAUAUAGCAACGCAGCAUUUCAGCCGUAUUGUAGAAGUAGUGUUUGGACUGCUUACAGAAGAAACGACAUUGUAGUGUGCAGACAGGUGCAGGAUACGUAUGAAAUGAAAAAGAAGAUGACUUUUGUCCUUUUUUAUACCAUUUGAGUGACAUUCUACAAACGAUAACGUAUUUUAUUGUGCGGGCAGCCUUUACAUUUGUUUGAAAACACAAAACUAUAAGCGGCUGAGCCAACCACGCAAUAUCUACUUCCACUUACAUGGAGAGGACUAGAUCUGGCCAAUUGCAAUUGCUAAUCAGAAAUUUAAACUUUCGGAAAAUCAAGGGUGACACACGUCAAGUAUAUGUGAAUAUUAAUGUAUCUAAUCAGAUUUUAUAAAAUUAACUUUCAAAUUCUUUGGAUCUACCUAAAAUAGAAAUAUAUACGGAUUAACUUACUCUUAGAAUAGCAAAAAUUUUUGGACUGCUUGCAGAUAUCAGUGACAUUAAUAA